rnacentral:rRNA from 1 species
CCUACGGGUGGCAGCAGUGGGGAAUAUUGGUCAAUGGGCGCAAGCCUGACCCAGCAACGCCGCGUGAAGGAAUAAGGCUUUCGGGUUUUAAACUUCUUUUAUGCGGGAAGAGUAAAAGCCGGUACCUCUUGAAUGAGCCACGGGUAACUACAUGCCAGCAGCCACUGUAAUACGGAGGUGGCAAGCGUUGUCCGGAUUUACUGGGUGUAAGGGGCGUGUAGUCGGGCCGGCAAGUCAGAUGGUAAAUCCCAAGGCUCAACCUUUGAACUGCAUUUGAAACGGUUGGUCUUGAGUAUCGGAGAGGCAGGCGGAAUGCCUGGUGGAGCGGUGAAAUGCGUAGAUAUUAGGAGGAACACCAGUGGCGAAGGCGGCCUGCUGGACGACAACUGACGGUGAGGCGCGAAAGCGUGGGGAGCAAACAGGAUUAGAUACCCGUGUAGUC